UACGUAGGUGGCAAGCGUUAUCCGGAAUACUGGGCGUAAAGCGCACGCAGGCGGUCUUUUUAAGUUUGACGUGAAAGCUCCCGGCUUAACUGGGAGAGGUCGUUGAAUACUGGAAGACUUGAGGCAAUGAGAGGGGUGUAGAAUUCCCCGGUGUAGUGGUGGAAUGCGUAGAUAUCGGGGGGGAAUACCGGUGGCGAAAGCGGCACCCUAGCGUUAGCCUGACGCUCAUGUGCGAAAGCGUGGGGAGCGAACGGG
rnacentral:rRNA from 1 species